UUUCGUCAAAGUCAAUGAACUUUAAAUCGCACCUUUAGAUUUCUUUGGUUUAACAUGAAUCGGUAGCCCCUGAUUGAGAACUGGCAAUGAAUCUCUGAUUGUGGCGAACUCAUACCCAGGACACAUUCUUGGUCCUCCUCUUAAUGCCACAAAACAGAGUAAGGAGGGGAUGGUGCUUGUUGCUCAAAGAGUGUUGGGUCGAUCUUUGAUGGAUUUGGGAAAAUCGUCUCAUCCAUUUUGACAGAUUGAAGAACACUGCUGGAAGCUUGUGACAUACAUGAACUGUUUUAUGGAGAAUGUCUACACCUACAAUUUGUGUCUGGUAUUAUCAGCUGCCUUGACAGGAUCAUGAAACUCAAACUGUAGCUUCUUUCAAAGCCGCCUUGACAGACAUUGAAGCAAUAAGAUGGUUGAGGUGCAAAGGAGGCUUGGCUCUUUUUUAUUGUUCUUCUUGUUGCUGCUGAUAUGUUCUUUGAUGUUGCUGGUGGUGUAGGGUUGCUGCUUUGCUGGCUAGGGAGGUCUUGCUUUCAUGAAGAAUAUUUUUACUGCUAUGGGAAACCUUAAAUUAUAACUUAUAAGGUUGUGUUGUUGCUUUUUAAGGCUGAAGGUUGUUCUUGACGCUACAAGAAAAAGUAUUUUGCACGGUGUUUAGAAUAUAGCGUUUUUUGAAAUGUCUUUGUUGAUUAGUGAAGCACAACGUUUUGUAAACGUUGUCUUACAUCUAGGUCAGACAACGUCAUUUAGCUGUGUAGUGAUCACACCAGUUGAUAUUAAAACCUUCUCGCUGUUUGAGACCUUUCAAAACCAUCUCACUCCAAACUCUCUGAAACUCAUAUCCCCUUUUCAAAACUCUCUCUCUCUCUCUCUCUCUCUCUCUCUCUCUCUUCACUUCAGAUUCAUCAAAUAGUACAACCACCAUGUUCAGUGUAGAAAUUUAAUGUAUAAAGAGAAAUGAUUGUAUUAUUGAUUGAUAUAAUGUUAUAUAUAUUACAAUGAUUGAUGAUUCCUAUAUAUAGAAGAGGGUGAGUGUGUAGUAGGUAAGGA